CGCUUUUCGGCACAGCGUUUAACGUGACAUCAUGAGACUCAAACCGUUUUGCUUCCGUGUUGUUCCCCCUUGUUUGAAGGACACACCCUUUAUUAUACACGAGUGUGUUCAAUUAGACAGGUCACGUGAUGUGACAUACAAUAAUCCAAUAAUGA